CGGAGGGUGCAAGCGUUAUCCGGAUUUACUGGGUUUAAAGGGUGCGUAGGCGGGCCUUUAAGUCAGUGGUGAAAGCUCCGAGCUUAACUCGGAAACUGCCAUUGAUACUAUUGGUCUUGAAUUCGGUCGAGGUUGGCGGAAUGUGUCGUGUAGCGGUGAAAUGCUUAGAUAUGACACAGAACACCGAUUGCGAAGGCAGCUAGCUAGACCGACAUUGACGCUGAGGCACGAAAGCGUGGGGAUCAAACAGGAUUAGAAACCCUGGUAGUCCACGCCCUAAACUAUGAUUACUCGAUGUUGGCGAUACACUGCCAGCGUCUAAGCGAUAGCAUUAAGUAAUCCACCUGGGGAGUACGAUCGCAAGAUUG
rnacentral:rRNA from 1 species